rnacentral:lncRNA from 1 species
UUUUUCUUUUUUUUUUUUUUUUUGAAACGGAGUCUCGCUUGCCCAGGCUGGAGUGCAGUGGCGCAAUCUCCGUGCACAACAAGCUCUGCCUCCUGGGUUCACGCCAUUCUCCUGCCUCAGCCUCCCGAGUAGCUGGGACUACAGGCACCCACCACAACGCCCAGCUAACUUUUUGUAUUUUCAGUAGAGACGGGGUUUCACCGUGUUAGCCAGGAUGGUCUCAAUCUCCUGACCUCGUGAUCCGCCUGCCUUGGCCUCCCAGAGUGCUGGGAUUACAGGCGCGUAAGCCACCACGCCAGUUUGUUUUUUGUUUUUUGAGACAGAGUCUUGCUCUGUCUCCCAGGCUGGAAUGCAGUGCCGCCAUCUUGGCAAGCUCCGCCUUCCAGGUUCACGCCAUUGUCUUGCCUCAGCCUCCCAAGUAGCUGGGACUACAGGCGCAUGCCACCACACCUGGCUAAUUUUUUGUAUUUUUAGUAGACUCAGGGUUUCACCACAUUAGCCAGAUGGUCUCGAUCUCCUGACCUCGUGAUCUGCCCGCCUCAGCCUCCCAAAAUGCUGGAAUCACAGGCGUGAGCCACCAUGCCCAGCCACCGUGCCACAGUUUUAAACAGCCAAAUCUCAUGAGAACUCACUCACUAUUGUGAGAAUAGUACCAAGAGGGAAAUCCACCCCCAUUCAUCCAAUCACCUUCCACCAGGCCCCAACUCCGACACUGGGGACUACAUUUCAAUAUGAGAUUUAGGUUGGGACAACAUCCAAACUAUAUCACUCCACACCGGCUCAUCCCAAAUUCCAUGUCCUUUUCACAUUGCAAAAUACAUUCAUGCCUUCCCAAUAAUCCCUGAAGUUUUAACUCAUUCCAGCAUUUACUCAAAAGUCCAAAGACUCAUUUGAGACAACAAGUUCCUUCCACCUAUGAGCCUGUAAAAUAAAAAGCAUGUUAGUUAUGUCCAAGAUCCAAUGAAGGUACAGGCAUUGGGUAGUUAUUUCUGUUCCACCGGGGACAAAUCAGCCAAAAGAAAGAGGCUACAGACCCUCACAAGUCCAAAACCCAGCAAGGCAGUGACUAAAUCUUAAAGCUCCAAAAUAAUCUCCUGACUCUAUGCUCCACAUGCAGGGUACACCGAUACAAGGGGUGGGCUCCCAAGGCCUUGAACAACUCUAUGUCACCUAGUGGUCUUUUUCUACCUACCCUGGUUUCUGAAGACAAAGGACAAAAUCUCUUCGGAGCUCUAUGGCCCUGCCCACUGCCUGUGAAACCUGAAUACAUAACCAGGAGACCCUAAGGCAAGUUUGCUUCCUCUCUAUAGUACCACAGCUGAUGUGCUCUUGAAAGUUCCACCUCCUGGCUGGAGGCCAACCAACACAAAACCAGUGCACUAAACAAAAGUACAGCCAGCCAGCAGUG